UACGUAGGGUGCAAGCGUUAAUCGGAAUUACUGGGCGUAAAGCGUGCGCAGGCGGCUUUGCAAGACAGAUGUGAAAUCCCCGGGCUUAACCUGGGAACUGCAUUUGUGACUGCAUGGCUCGAGUGCGGCAGAGGGGGAUGGAAUUCCGCGUGUAGCAGUGAAAUGCGUAGAUAUGCAGAGGAACACCGAUGGCGAAGGCAAUCCCCUGGGCCUGCACUGACGCUCAUGCACGAAAGCGUGGGGAGCAACAGG
rnacentral:rRNA from 1 species